ACAAAGGAGAAACGUGGACAGAGGCAUCACUCCGAGCUAAAGCUUGGCCUUUCCGCAGAGGAUGCUCUUUUCCAGACCUCACACGAGUUCCUAGAAGCCCGGGUUAAAGCGUUUAGGGGUCGGUCUGGGCGGUCACCUCAGUGGGACGCGCUGGAUUUGGGGCCGAUUUGCUUCAGCAGAGCAGCAGAUACCGACCCUAAACUCUUCUUUCUGGGUGCUGCUCCUUCCCGAGGAUUUAUUUGCCAGCACCGCCCUUCAGCGAAGCUGAUGGCUUUUCCUGCCAGGAGAGAGACUCCUGAGGCCCUGUUGGGAGAAUGACAGCUCUGGCCUGCCGCGACUUUUCAAUACUUCCAUCAGAAUCACUGCAAAGAGGUGAGACAUUCUGCCUCAUCACGGGGUAAGAAUCGGCCAAAUGGAUGUUGGGGAGUCAGAGCAGUGUCUCCUGAAACCGAGUCAAGCAGAGCACUGGAUUUUUGCAGGAGUAUUUAACGAUAAAAGUGAUUUCUGCAGUGCAUCUGCUCGGGAGGCAGCACAUCUUUCCAUCUACGUGUGCAGCACUAAUUCAGUGAUAACUUCUUCUGUUAGAGUGGAACUUUUUGCACUGACCCUUGCACUGGGGAUUUGGAUCAGCUAAAAGCAGGCUGGUUGAAGUCUAAAGCCUUCUCCCAUUCCACAGACAAUUGAGUUUUUUGGGUGUAUACAAGUUUUUGUGGUUUAAUAAGACUGGAGGAAAAAAAAGUCAGCAGCUGAGACUAUUUCAGCAACUUGCAUACUGCUGUGAUGAAAGAAACCAGAUAUUACGGAUUCAUUCUGGGGCAUGGAAAUAUUUAUGAAGUAUGAAUUUAUUAAAGGCCCUAAAGUACAUAAAACAGCUGCUGUGCAUCCUGCAGCCGUGCAUGUAGGUUUUAUUUGAAUAUAUAUAACACUAUUGCGAACAGAGAUGGCAAUCAGCGCGGUGUUCCCUAGGAUAACGAUGUUCAGGGAGUCACUGGAGGGGUAUUAAUCUAAAGCACAUGCAGUCCACUCUCCCAACUCAGCCUGCAGGAAGCAAAAGCAGCAAACGAGGGCCAAGUGGCGAUAAGGUGGUGAUAACCUCACGGAGAGGGAGAGGUGCCAGUUCAGCAGUGUCACACCAUGAUUGCGAUGAGGCACGGUUAUGCAAACGCCCGCGAUGAGAAAUCCUCCCCGCGCAGGUGAGAAGAUAAAAUAAGGCCCUUAGAGGCAAAGCAAUCCAGGCUUCUGUCGAUGACUUGGCGAUAAAGGAGCAAUGUCAGACACUGGGAGCAAGAGCUCACCGUUCCAUAUUCAACGCCAUCAUUUCAUUCCCUGCUUUUCUUUCUUCUCUGACUCAAAGGUGCUUUUACUGCCCUCAGUGCUGGUCUCCGACUUGUACAAGCACAUAAUUCUAACUGUGAGUUUCCAUGAAAACAUUAAGGAAAUAGAGAAGUGACUUGCCAAAGGCCAAACAAAGCACCUGAGGUGGAGUCAGGCACAGAACCCAGUUCUCCAGGCUCGUUUGUUUAACUGCUUUUCCUGGUUUUCACCACUUUUCUGUUCCCUGUCAGUCCCUCUAUUCUUGUUUGAAGCACGGGGGACUUUAUAACCUCAUAUUUCUCACAACUCUAUGAAAGCUCUACCAGAGGGAAAUGCUCCUGAUUGUUUCUGUUCAAAGAUGGGGGCGUUUCUGGACAUGUCACGUCUGAAAAGUGAGUGACUUCUGGCACCUGGUCCUCCGCUUUCUGACAUGAGGGACACAUGCAAGGAAUAUCAAAUAUGUGGCUGAAGCCAGACUGCGCCUCUCUAAGCACACUGUGCUUUUUUUUUCUAUGCUGAAGGCCUAAAAAGGGAAUUUUCUCUGCCUAUCUAGACAGAGGAGCCCCUUUUAGGUAUUAUCUGCUGUACAAAUAUUGGCCUACUCAAAGGCAGUUUCAUAGAAAGUUGAAGGCAGUCUGAGAGGGAGAACAUAUCCUUUUAUAUGUGUUGGAUAAGGUAAAUGAUAUCAAAUAAAAUGAAGGAUUAAAGCAUGCUCGAGCUUGAAGCCAUAGAUAUAAAAAGGACAGGAAUUAUUGUUUACUUACAUUUUUCAGCUGGGUGUGUGCAGCCAGUUUUGCUGAGGAUUUAUGUAUCACAUCAGUUAAUUUCCAGCCUGUGCCAACUCCCACAGGGAGCACCACACCAGCAGCUCUGCCCUGAGCUGCCCAGCAGCCGUGGGCACUUGCCCAGGCCCCUGCCCACCUGAU